rnacentral:rRNA from 1 species
UACGGAGGGGGCUAGCGUUGUUCGGAAUUACUGGGCGUAAAGCGCACGUAGGCGGCUUUGCAAGUUAGAGGUGAAAGCCCGGGGCUCAACUCCGGAAUUGCCUUUAAAACUGCAUCGCUAGAAUUGUGGAGAGGUAAGUGGAAUUCCGAGUGUAGAGGUGAAAUUCGUAGAUAUUCGGAAGGACACCAGUGGCGAAGGCGACUUACUGGACACAUAUUGACGCUGAGGUGCGAAAGCGUGGGGAGCAAACAGA